GCUUCAGCAGAAGUGAUGUCUCCAACUGACUCAUCUUCAUCUUCAGAAGAAGCCUCUCCCACAGAUAUAGCUCCCACUUCAGAUGAAGCACUUUCUUCACCAGGUAC